GACGAACGCUGGCGGCGUGCCUAAUACAUGCAAGUUGAGCGCUGAAGGUUGGUACUUGUACCGACUGGAUGAGCAGCGAACGGGUGAGUAACGCGUGGGGAAUCUGCCUUUGAGCGGGGGACAACAUUUGGAAACGAAUGCUAAUACCGCAUAAAAACUUUAAACACAAGUUUUAAGUUUGAAAGAUGCAAUUGCAUCACUCAAAGAUGAUCCCGCGUUGUAUUAGCUAGUUGGUGAGGUAAAGGCUCACCAAGGCGAUGAUACAUAGCCGACCUGAGAGGGUGAUCGGCCAAAUUGGGACUGAGACACGGCCCAAACUCCUACGGGAGGCAGCAGGAGGGAAUCUUCGGCAAUGGACGAAAGUCUGACCGAGCAAAGCCGCGUGAGUGAAGAAGGUUUUCGGAUCGUAAAAAUCGGUUGGUAGAGAAGAACGUUGGUGAGAGUGGAAAGCUCAUCAAGUGACGGUAACUACCCAGAAAGGGACGGCUAACUACGUG
rnacentral:rRNA from 1 species